rnacentral:rRNA from 1 species
CCUACGGGAGGCAGCAGUGAGGAAUAUUGGUCAAUGGACGAGAGUCUGAACCAGCCAAGUAGCGUGAAGGAUGACUGCCCUAUGGGUUGUAAACUUCUUUUAUAUGGGAAUAAAAUGUUCCACGUGUGGGAUUUUGUAUGUACCAUAUGAAUAAGGAUCGGGUAACUCCGUGCCAGCAGCCGCGGUAAUACGGAGGAUCCGAGCGUUAUCCGGAUUUAUUGGGUUUAAAGGGAGCGUAGGUGGAUUGGUAAGUCAGUUGUGAAAGUUUGCGGCUCAACCGUAAAAUUGCAGUUGAAACUGGCAGUCGUGAGUACAGUAGAGGUGGGCGGAAUUCGUGGUGUAGCGGUGAAAUGCGUAGAUAUCACGAAGAACUCCGAUUGCGAAGGCAGCUCACUGGACUGCAACUGACACUGAGGCUCGAAAGUGUGGGUAUCAAACAGGAUUAGAUACCCCUGUAGUC